GAGUUUGAUCAUGGCUCAGAUUGAACGCUGGCGGCAGGCCUAACACAUGCAAGUCGAGCGGUAGCACAGAGAGCUUGCUCUCGGGUGACGAGCGGCGGACGGGUGAGUAAUGUCUGGGAAACUGCCUGAUGGAGGGGGAUAACUACUGGAAACGGUAGCUAAUACCGCAUAACGUCGCAAGACCAAAGUGGGGGACCUUCGGGCCUCAUGCCAUCAGAUGUGCCCAGAUGGGAUUAGCUAGUAGGUGGGGUAACGGCUCACCUAGGCGACGAUCCCUAGCUGGUCUGAGAGGAUGACCAGCCACACUGGAACUGAGACACGGUCCAGACUCCUACGGGAGGCAGCAGUGGGGAAUAUUGCACAAUGGGCGCAAGCCUGAUGCAGCCAUGCCGCGUGUGUGAAGAAGGCCUUCGGGUUGUAAAGCACUUUCAGCGGGGAGGAAGGCGUUAAGGUUAAUAACCUCAUCGAUUGACGUUACCCGCAGAAGAAGCACCGGCUAACUCCGUGCCAGCAGCCGCGGUAAUACGGAGGGUGCAAGCGUUAAUCGGAAUUACUGGGCGUAAAGCGCACGCAGGCGGUCUGUCAAGUCGGAUGUGAAAUCCCCGGGCUCAACCUGGGAACUGCAUUCGAAACUGGCAGGCUAGAGUCUUGUAGAGGGGGGUAGAAUUCCAGGUGUAGCGGUGAAAUGCGUAGAGAUCUGGAGGAAUACCGGUGGCGAAGGCGGCCCCCUGGACAAAGACUGACGCUCAGGUGCGAAAGCGUGGGGAGCAAACAGGAUUAGAUACCCUGGUAGUCCACGCCGUAAACGAUGUCGAUUUGGAGGUUGUGCCCUUGAGGCGUGGCUUCCGGAGCUAACGCGUUAAAUCGACCGCCUGGGGAGUACGGCCGCAAGGUUAAAACUCAAAUGAAUUGACGGGGGCCCGCACAAGCGGUGGAGCAUGUGGUUUAAUUCGAUGCAACGCGAAGAACCUUACCUGGUCUUGACAUCCACAGAACUUAGCAGAGAUGCUUUGGUGCCUUCGGGAACUGUGAGACAGGUGCUGCAUGGCUGUCGUCAGCUCGUGUUGUGAAAUGUUGGGUUAAGUCCCGCAACGAGCGCAACCCUUAUCCUUUGUUGCCAGCGGUCCGGCCGGGAACUCAAAGGAGACUGCCAGUGAUAAACUGGAGGAAGGUGGGGAUGACGUCAAGUCAUCAUGGCCCUUACGACCAGGGCUACACACGUGCUACAAUGGCAUAUACAAAGAGAAGCGACCUCGCGAGAGCAAGCGGACCUCAUAAAGUAUGUCGUAGUCCGGAUUGGAGUCUGCAACUCGACUCCAUGAAGUCGGAAUCGCUAGUAAUCGUAGAUCAGAAUGCUACGGUGAAUACGUUCCCGGGCCUUGUACACACCGCCCGUCACACCAUGGGAGUGGGUUGCAAAAGAAGUAGGUAGCUUAACCUUCGGGAGGGCGCUUACCACUUUGUGAUUCAUGACUGGGGUGAAGUCGUAACAAGGUAACCGUAGGGGAACCUGCGGUUGGAUCACC
rnacentral:rRNA from 2 species